AGGACGAACGCUGGCGGCGUGCUUAACACAUGCAAGUCGAGCGGAAAGGCCCUUCGGGGUACUCGAGCGGCGAACGGGUGAGUAACACGUGAGUAAUCUGCCCCUAGCUCUGGGAUAGCUCCGGGAAACCGGGAUUAAUACCGGAUACGACCACCUUAGACAUCUUUUGUGGUGGAAAGAAUUUCGGCUAGGGAUGAGCUCGCGGCCUAUCAGCUUGUUGGUGGGGUAAUGGCCUACCAAGGCGACGACGGGUAGCCGGCCUGAGAGGGCGACCGGCCACACUGGGACUGAGACACGGCCCAGACUCCUACGGGAGGCAGCAGUGGGGAAUAUUGCGCAAUGGGCGAAAGCCUGACGCAGCGACGCCGCGUGGGGGAUGAAGGCCUUCGGGUUGUAAACCCCUUUCAGCAGGGACGAAGCGAAAGUGACGGUACCUGCAGAAGAAGCGCCGGCUAACUACGUGCCAGCAGCCGC
rnacentral:rRNA from 1 species